rnacentral:rRNA from 1 species
UACGGAGGGGGCUAGCGUUGUUCGGAAUUACUGGGCGUAAAGCGCACGUAGGCGGCUUUGUAAGUUAGAGGUGAAAGCCCGGGGCUCAACUCCGGAAUUGCCUUUAAGACUGCAUCGCUAGAAUUGUGGAGAGGUAAGUGGAAUUCCGAGUGUAGAGGUGAAAUUCGUAGAUAUUGGGAAGAACACCGGUGGCGAAGGCGGCUCACUGGCUCGUAUCUGACGCUCAGGCGCGACAGCGUGGGGAUCAAACAGG